CACAAACCACUUAAGGAGGCUUUAGUCCUUGAUGUGGCCGUCGCAGAAACAUGUUCUCUGGAAGGUGGAGGAUGUCUCUGGCAGCACCAACCACCAACCUCAUGGAAGGAGGAAGACGCUGAUGAAGCAUGUGGACAGGAGCUUCUGCAGACAAUCCCUGUUGAGAUUUUGCCUGAAUCGAAGUCGACUGGCAGGAUCUUCUCCGGCUGUCUUCUUUCUUUGGGUUCAGAGGUUUCUAGCACUUGAACGCACCGUUAGAGUGACGUUGUUACUACACUGUGAUCUGUUCACUGCGAUCAGGUGGAUUGACGUCUGGACGGGGUUCGACUGGCGGAUCAGGAACUGGUCUGCAGUGGCUCGCGUGGACACAGCUGGUUCUUCCAGCAGUCCGAGUCGCAAACAGCCCCAGGAAGAGUCCUUGCCAUGUCGCCGGUGUUCUCCAUGGAGCUUCUUCAGCACCGUCUGGUCAGCAGGCUUCAGUCGGUGCUGACGGAUCUCUGCGGGGCUCAUUGCUGAAAACCAGCGGGAGUUUGAACGCGAUGUCCCCGGGAGACAGACGCUCUCUCUCCGCCCGUCAGCCGGUAGAGCGGGCGAGGCGAGCCGGUGGCGGAAGCGGAAGCGGAAGCAGACAUGUCCGAACACUACUGAGCAUUUCGUUACGUGCUACAGCGAUCCGCGCGCCUUUUGACGCGCGGGAAAAUCAGGAGUCGGAGGAGAUUCAAGGAUUUCUCACACAAGCACCAAAGAAUCAAAGCAACUCCAGAUUCUUGACUCGACUGACUGUAACCACCCGGCAGACAGCGACACCAGGAGGAAGAGAAGAAGAAGAGCGCCACCGGAGUGAAUGUGGCCACAACGAAGCGUCGAGACAGAGGUGGAGUGAAGUUUGCCCCGACACAUUUAGGUGUCAGUCAACUCGGCUACACUGUUAUUAAUAAAUAAUUAAUAAAUACUCUGUCCAAUUAAUAAAUGUUCCCAUAAAAUUAAAUAACCCGCCUUUCUUCCAUUUUUCUCUUUUGUCACAUUUCAUUUUAGUUUCUGCUUGGCCUGUGGGAAUAAAAUAAUAGAUAGAAAAUCUCUGACAGCUGGAAGUGUUGAACUUGGAUAAAAUCGCUGCAAUGUUUUUAUUUAAGCAUAGAUUUUUUUGUUUUUUAUGCCAAAGCUAUGACAUUUCUGCUUGAAUGAAAACCUGCUGGAGGAAAA